rnacentral:rRNA from 1 species
UGCAAGUCGAGCGAGCGGAAACCAACAGAUUUACUUCGGUAAUGACGUUGGGAAAGCGAGCGGCGGAUGGGUGAGUAACACGUGGGGAACCUGCCCCUAAGUCUGGGAUACCAUUUGGAAACAGGUGCUAAUACCGGAUAAUAAAGCAGAUCGCAUGAUCAGCUUUUGAAAGGCGGCGUAAGCUGUCGCUAAGGGAUGGCCCCGCGGUGCAUUAGCUAGNNNGUAAGGUAACGGCUUACCAAGGCGACGAUGCAUAGCCGAGUUGAGAGACUGAUCGGCCACAUUGGGACUGAGACACGGCCCAAACUCCUACGGGAGGCAGCAGUAGGGAAUCUUCCACAAUGGACGCAAGUCUGAUGGAGCAACGCCGCGUGAGUGAAGAAGGUUUUCGGAUCGUAAAGCUCUGUUGUUGGUGAAGAAGGAUAGAGGUAGUAACUGGCCUUUAUUUGACGGUAANCAACCAGAAAGUCACGGCUAACUACGUGCCAGCAGCCGCGGUA